UACAGGGGGGGCAAGCGUUGUUCGGAAUUACUGGGCGUAAAGGGUUCGUAGGUGGCUUGCUAAGUCACACGUGAAAUCCCCAGGCUUAACCUGGGAACUGCGUCGGAUACUGGAUGGCUUGAAUCCGGGAGAGGGAUGCGGAAUUCCAGGUGUAGCGGUGAAAUGCGCAGAUAUCAGGAAGAACACCAAUGGCGAAGGCAGCUCUCUGGGACGGUACUGACGCUGAGACGCGAAAGCGUGGGGAGCGAACAGG
rnacentral:rRNA from 1 species